rnacentral:rRNA from 1 species
CACGUAGGGUGCGAGCGUUGUCCGGAAUCAUUGGGCGUAAAGAGCGUGUAGGCGGACUGGAAGGUCUGGUGUGAAAGCCCGGGGCUCAACCCCGGAGGGUCACUGGAAACCAACAGUCUUGAAUCUGGAAGAGGAGAGUGGAAUUCCUGGUGUAGCGGUGGAAUGCGCAGAUAUCAGGAGGAACACCAAUGGCGAAGGCAGCUCUCUGGUACAUGAUUGACGCUGAGACGCGAAAGCGUGGGGAGCGAACAGG